CCGUAAGGGUUAUUGCUUGCCC
rnacentral:siRNA from 1 species